rnacentral:rRNA from 1 species
UACGUAGGUGGCAAGCGUUAUCCGGAAUUAUUGGGCGUAAAGCGCGCGCAGGCGGUCCUUUAAGUCUGAUGUGAAAGUCCACGGCUCAACCGUGGGAUUGCAUUGGAAACUGGGGGACUUGAGUGCAGUAGAGGAGAGUGGAAUUCCUGGUGUAGCGGUGAAAUGCGUAGAUAUCGGGAGGAACACCAGUGGCGAAGGCGACUUCCUGGCCUGUUCUUGACGCUGAGGCGCGAAAGCUAGGGUAGCAAACGGG